GUCUUGUAUUACAAUUUCAGUUUCCGGUGCAUGUCAAAACAUGGAGUUAAAUAAAAUAGUCCCAAUUUUUCUGAAUUUUUUUCUGCACUGCCUAUAAACUGUUUGAUUAAAACUUUGUGAUGAAUUGAAAGUACUAUUUAAAUGUAACAAAAAUAUUGCAUCUUUUUUCAGAAAUUAAAUUAGGAAGGUGGAAGGAUCUAAUGUUUACUAGAAGUGGUGCGGUCGGAUGAAAACAGCAAACAGAAAGUAGAAAAAGGAAGUUUUGACUUCGAGUUGAUGAAUCGGACGAGAAUUUGGAGAAAGUGGUACACCAAGAGCUUCACAUUUUAAAACAGCUGAUUCUCCAGGUCUAUGAUUAAUUCUAUGUGCAGUGGAGUGAAUUCUAGCAGGAAAAUUUCUCUGGAAGAAAUUAAAUUAGGAAGGUGGAAGGAUCUAAUGUUUACUAGAAGUGGUGCGGUCGGAUGAAAACAGCAAACAGAAAGUAGAAAAAGGAAGUUUUGACUUCGAGGUUGAUUAACUUUUUAUUCUUCGUGGCAAGGUGCCCUUUUUUUUGCAUGAAAUCAUAGUUUAACAUUACUAAAUGCAUGAUCUGUACACAAAAAAAAUUUUCUAUGUAGCAUUUUUGAAUAAAAUUUUUUUGAA